UACGGAGGGGGCUAGCGUUGUUCGGAAUUACUGGGCGUAAAGCGCACGUAGGCGGCUUUGCAAGUUAGAGGUGAAAGCCCGGGGCUCAACUCCGGAAUUGCCUUUAAAACUGCAUCGCUAGAAUUGUGGAGAGGUAAGUGGAAUUCCGAGUGUAGAGGUGAAAUUCGUAGAUAUUCGGAAGAACACCAGUGGCGAAGGCGACUUACUGGGACACAUAUGACGCUGAUGCGCGAAAGCGUGGGAGCAAACGGG
rnacentral:rRNA from 1 species